rfam:Salmo salar isolate Sally breed double haploid chromosome ssa15, whole genome shotgun sequence.
GCCUAAGGAAUUUGUAAGUCGCCCUGGAUAAGAGCGUCUGCUAAAUGACUUAAA